UACGGAGGGUGCAAGCGUUGCUCGGAAUUAUUGGGCGUAAAGGGUAGGUAGGUGGUCUCAUUUGUCUGGGGUGAAAGCCCAGGGCUUAACCCUGGAAGUGCCCCGGAAACGGUGAGACUGGAGUCCUGGAGAGGGUCGUGGAAUUCCCGGUGUAGCGGUGAAAUGCGUAGAGAUCGGGAGGAACACCAGAGGCGAAGGCGGCGACCUGGACAGGUACUGACACUCAACUACGAAAGCGUGGGGAGCAAACAGG
rnacentral:rRNA from 1 species